GAUGAACGCUGGCGGCGUGCCUAACACAUGCAAGUCGAGCGAAGCGGGGACGGGUGAGUAACCCGUGGGUAACCUCCCAUAAGACUGGGAUAACAUCGGGAAACCGGACCUAACCCGGAAACUUCUAGAUGGAUACGCGCUGCAUUAGCUAGUUGGUAAGGUAACGGCCUACCAAGGCAACGAUGCAUAGCCGACCUGAGAGGGUGAGCAGCCACACUGGAACUGAGACACGGUCCAGACUCCUACGGGAGGCAGCAGUAGGGAAUCUUGCACAAUGGGCGAAAGCCUGACGGAGCAACGCCGCGUGAGUGAUGAAGGUCUUCGGAUCGUAAAGCACUGUUAGCAGGGAAGCGUUACCUGAUCAGAAAGCCACGGCUAACUCCGUGCCAGCCGCCGCGGUAAUUC
rnacentral:rRNA from 1 species